CGCGGCCUAUCAGCUUGUUGGUGGGGUAAUGGCCUACCAAGGCUUCGACGGGUAGCCGGCCUGAGAGGGCGACCGGCCACACUGGGACUGAGACACGGCCCAGACUCCUACGGGAGGCAGCAGUGGGGAAUAUUGCGCAAUGGGCGGAAGCCUGACGCAGCGACGCCGCGUGAGGGAUGAAGGCCUUCGGGUUGUAAACCUCUUUCAGCAGGGACGAAGCGAGAGUGACGGUACCUGCAGAAGAAGCACCGGCCAACUACGUGCCAGCAGCCGCGGUAAUACGUAGGGUGCAAGCGUUGUCCGGAAUUAUUGGGCGUAAAGAGCUCGUAGGCGGUCUGUCGCGUCGGCUGUGAAAACUCGGGGCUCAACCCCGAGCCUGCAGUCGAUACGGGCAGACUAGAGUGCUGUAGGGGAGACUGGAAUUCCUGGUGUAGCGGUGAAAUGCGCAGAUAUCAGGAGGAACACCGGUGGCGAAGGCGGGUCUCUGGGCAGUAACUGACGCUGAGGAGCGAAAGCGUGGGGAGCGAACAGGAUUAGAUACCCUGGUAGUCCACGCCGUAAACGGUGGGUGCUAGGUGUGAGCGGUAUUCCACGCCGUUCGUGCCGCAGCUAACGCAUUAAGCACCCCGCCUGGGGAGUACGG
rnacentral:rRNA from 1 species